GUUUGCCUACGCGCAAACUCGUUUGUGCUGUGUUGUGUGUGUGUGUGUGUGUGUGGUUUGUUACUGCACGGCUAGUAUGGCCAUAAUAAGACAACAUGUGAAGUGACUGAUUAAAUUGAGUCACUUUUUGAUAUCAGUCUUAAAUGUUAGCAUAGGGUGUACAUGGGACUCAUUUUAUUUGUGUGAUUCGGCAUUAGUCCCAGUGACACUGUAACUUUUCUGCUCUGUGCAAAUAAGUUUUUCAAAUGUUAUUUUUUUCCGAAAACCUCUCAUUUGUGGUUGUUGUUUGUAUUGUCUAUGGUUUUUUGACACUUAAAAUGUCACCAAUUGUCAAACUUGAAGAAAAUUUUGACUGUUUGGUGCUUUCGAGAGUUUCGAGUGUAUUAUUUUGGUAAUAUUACUUUGCUUUGCGCUACCCCAUGGAUUCAUAUUGGCUCAUUAAACUACUUUAUUGAGUUUCUUGGACAUCGUCUCAUCAAAUGAUAUACGACCAAGCUUGCUCCCGACCAAGCACGCUCAGAUUCCUUGGGAGCUCCUGCUAUCGGCAGCCGUCGAUGCAUCGGAUCCCUGAGACGAAGAACAAAAACAGCAUGCCACCUGACUGAUGACCCACCCACUGUCUACCCGGACCCAGGAGCUAGAAGGCCUUGAGAAAAAAGCCCGGGCAGGAUCCUGACGGGCGCAGAAUAUCAUCUUCGAUGCUUGUCUUGUCAUUUAUAUAAUCAAUGGAAGGAAAAAAACAGUAGAACAUUGAAAUUGGCUUGUAGGCAAGACGGAAGAUGGUCAAAACCGGUCAGAAAUUGAUGCCCUAGACACGGUUGGAGAGCUCUUGUUGGCAGAAACCACCUGAAUGGUGAAUGGUGGUGCUGAAUGAUGGUCAGAUGACAUUAGCAACCUUGUGGUGAAACAAUGAACUGGAGCGGCACCGAACUGAAAAAGUUGAAAAACUUGGCAUACAUACUAUGAGACCCAUUUGAUGACUGAUAUAAGCAAAGUUCAGACUGAUUAUUGUGAUAGUUGAUAACUAAGAAUACCUAAUAUGCUUUUAUGGUGUGUGAAAUAGUAUACUUUUUAUAAUUUAUUAAUUAAAAGUUUAAUAAAUGUUUUACUUACCUAAAGAAAAUAUUAUAUUUUUAUAACCAUUUAAAAUAGUUGUAAGUACAUGCUAGCAUACCCACUUAUUUUUUUAUAGUUAGUGUGUAGUUGAUAAAUAAUAAAUCCUGACUAGGGUUUGUCACUGUAGUGAAAGGAUUAGUCGCUGACUACCCGGUGUACCGGAUGUAUUCAAUGUACAGUUUAUAUGAUUUACACUUCAUGAACUCCACAUUUAGCAUUCAAACUAUUCAAUUAGCCACUUCAUCUCAGUUAGUGUGUUGUUCACGUGUUGUUGAUAAAUCAUAAAGCCUGACUAGGGUUUGUCGCUGUGGUGAAGGAUUAGAAUGAGUCGCUGACUGCCCGGUGUGCCAGAUGUAUUCAAUGUACAGUUUAUAAGUAUUAUUUACAUUUCGUGAACUCUAUAUUUAGCAUUCAAACUAUUCAAUUAGCCACUUCAUUACCUACAUACUUUGACGUGAAUAGGCAAACUUAAAGUAUAAGUAUGGGAGACAACUGAAAAUCUGUGGUUUGUUCCUAAGGGCAAACAUAUGCGCUGAGUUGCUUCCCUUUUGGUCUGCUUCAACACACACAUUUCGCCUCUUAAUUUAAGUGGAACAAAUUAAUGUCUAUCUAUCUAACUUAUUAGCACAUGUCAGCGACAGGAUUUGAAUCCACAUCUCUUCCGUGAGGGGCGGGCGCUUACCCGUCUGAGCUAACACCGCUACAUAUAAGUAAUAUGAUAUAUAAUUUUAGUCAAAUAAAAAGAGGAUGUGUGUUUUGACAAAUGUUGUUUUUAAAGCAUUUUCAACGGGUUAUUAGAGUCCCGGAUCAUCCUCCCUAUAAGUAUUAUAGUAAUUUUCCUUUCCUGCAUCUCUUCUUGUAGAGCAAGGAUGAAAUUAACAAAAACUAAACAAAUAAUUAUUUGUGUCACAUGUUAUCACCACCUUCGAACUUGAGUGAUAUAAUGCUACCUAAACAAAUGUCAAACUGAGACAUGUGUGGAUAAAUUGGUACACCCAUGUUAGGAAAUAAGACAAAUCUUCCAAUCUCGCUGUCAAAAUUGUAACUCACAUCUUGUAGUGAUUAUUUCGUGUUGGCCAUGUUAGCGUUUGUGAGGACAACUGGUAUCACACAAUUUGUUGCAACUAGCUGUCAUUUAUAUCUUGUCACCGCCAUACUGUGCUACGCGUGCAGGUU